rnacentral:rRNA from 1 species
AGUGAACGCUGGCGGUAGGCCUAACACAUGCAAGUCGAACGGCAGCACAGUAAGAGCUUGCUCUUACGGGUGGCGAGUGGCGGACGGGUGAGGAAUACAUCGGAAUCUACUUUUUCGUGGGGGAUAACGUAGGGAAACUUACGCUAGUACCGCAUACGACCUACGGGUGAAAGCAGGGGAUCUUCGGACCUUGCGCGGUUGAAUGAGCCGAUGUCGGAUUAGCUAGUUGGCGGGGUAAAGGCCCACCAAGGCGACGAUCCGUAGCUGGUCUGAGAGGAUGAUCGGCCACACUGGAACUGAGACACGGUCCAGACUCCUAAGGGAGGCAGCAGUGGGGAAUAUUGGACAAUGGGCGCAAGCCUGAUCCAGCCAUACCGCGUGGGUGAAGAAGGCCUUCGGGUUGUAAAGCCCUUUUGUUGGGAAAGAACAGCAGCAGGUUAAUACCCCGCUGUUCUGACGGUACCCAAAGAAUAAGCACCGGCUAACUUCGUG